AUCCAUUGCCUGAACACAUUGUGCGGUCUGGGAUCAUCUAGCCUGGAUUCAAAUCCUAAAUAUCCCUUGUCAGCUUGUGAUUUUGGACAAAUUUCUUAACCCUUCUGUCCCUCAGCAGUUUUCUCAUCUAUAAAAUGGGGCUGCUGAUAACUGUACCUACAUUGCAGGGUGGACAUGAAAGUUUAAUGAGUUAGUAUUAGAAGUGUUGUUGCAGAAGAAACGAAGGUUAAAAGUAAUUUUUUUUUUUUGAGUUGGAAUUCUGCUCUUGUUGCCCAGGCUGGAGUGCAAUGGUGGGAUCUCGGCUCACUGCAAACUCCACCUCCUGGGUUCAAGCCAUUCUCCUGCCUCAGCCUCCCGAGUAGCUAGGAUUACAGGCACACGCCACCACACCCAGGUGAAGGCUGCGCCUGGACUCUGCUGAGACCCUCCAAGAUGUGAUCAGAGUGAGCUCGGUUCCUCACUGACCUUGAUCUUCCAGUCCUCAAUGAAGUCCUCAAUGAAGUGCCAUGAGAGGCUGAGCUGAACUUCAACCCUACUUCUGGCCACAUGACCCUACACAGACCACUCUCCUGCUCUGAGCCUUAUUUUCUUCUCUGAAAUGGGUCUAAUAAUGGCAUCUCGUCAAUCAAGCGCCUGUUCCUUCUGCUGGGAUCCUCAGGUGCUGCUCAGCCUGCUUCAGUGGGCCUUCUGUGAGCUGUAGCUCUGCUGGUGUCUGGGGCAAACCACGUGGUCUUCACAGCCUUGCACCUGCCAUGUUGCUCCCAAUCUCCGAAAGACAAUUCUAGGCCUUCUUGUCUCUGUGAACUCUGAGCUCCUUGGGGUCUGGAAAUACUGGUACAGAGCAGGGGUCCAGGGCUGAGGGUCCAGGGAAGAGGUGAC